rfam:Schistosoma haematobium scaffold846_19, whole genome shotgun sequence.
GCACUGCUGAGGAGUCCCACAAUAGGAUGAAACGGUGGUCCAGUAC